UCUAAAUGCACCCAUUGAAAACAUUCUUUGCGUAAUAUCACAAAUGGUCACAAAGUCACGAAUAUUUACUACAAAUCGUGAGGUCUCACAAAGUUUAAAGUGCCUUUCAGUUUGGAAUGAAUACUUUUUUAAAUUUUAAUUGUACAGAUGAAAUAUAAAAUUGAAAAUGCAACGGGAAGAAAAGCAAUUGGAUUCUGCCUUGGAGGCUAUUAUUAUGAGAAUAAACGACUUAAAAACAGCUAUAGCUGCAAUGAUAUUCAAAUUGGAACACGAAUACGAAACGUUAAAUUGGCCUAAUUUUCUUGAUAACUUCGCACUUAUUUCAGGACAUUUAACUAGCCUCUCAAAAAUUCUUGGUCAUGAUAAACCACCGAACCUGAGAAACCUAACAGUUCUACCAUUACGAUUAUGUCCUGAAAAAGAUGAAGAACUACUUCGAUUAACUGAAGGCAGAAUUUCUACGUUUGCUCAUGACCUAGUACCAGAUUAUCUACGCACUAAAGUGGAGCCUCAAGCUGAACAAAAAAUGAUACAGCUUGAAGCAAAAGCUGCAAAUUUAAAUUAUGAAACUUCACAUAAACAAGUGGCGCAAUACACAAAAGUUAUUAGUCAUAUAUGGGAUAUAGCGAACAAGGCACGCGAAGAAUGGGAAAGCGAAGCUGGAUCUAGAGGAACUCAAGCUCAAACUAGUAGUACAGCUGAUACUCAUGCUCUUGUAGCAGCUGUGGGUAUGGGUAAAGGUCUAAAGUCUGAUUCUGUCCAAAUGGUUCAGUCUGGAGUCAAUUCCGUACCUAGCGGAAUGAUGGUUGGUAGGCCUGGAAGUCAACAAUCUCCAGGACAGGGAUCUCUCGGAAAUCCAUCUCUGGGACAAAUGAGUAAAGCUCCAAGUACAAUAAAAACUAAUAUUAAAGCAGCAUCGCAAAUUCAUCCGUACAGAUAAAGUAUAUAAAUUCGUCUAAUUAUAAAAACAUAGAAAAAUAUGUGUUGUAAAGCAUCUAAACCCUGUUCAUGCAUCCAACACAAUCGAUCUCGAAGAAUGAACGACUCCGCCGGUGCUUGUAACAUUAGUUGUAAAGCGGUAUACAUUUCUACAACUUUUAGUUUACCGCAAUGAUUUUUCCAUAAUUCUAU